rnacentral:pre_miRNA from 15 species
GAGCACGCGCAGAGACAGACAGUGCAGUCACCCAUAAAGUAGAAAGCACUACUAACAGCACUGGAGGGUGUAGUGUUUCCUACUUUAUGGAUGAGUGUACUGUGGGCUUCGGAGACCACGCCA